rnacentral:rRNA from 1 species
GCGGCAGGCUUAACACAUGCAAGUCGAGGGGUAACAGAGAGUGCUUGCACUCUGCUGACGACCGGCGCACGGGUGAGUAACGCGUAUGCAACCUACCUUUUACAGGGGAAUAGCCCAGAGAAAUUUGGAUUAAUACCCCAUAUUAUCUUUUUUUCGCAUGAAUUAAGGAUGAAAGUUUCGACGGUAAAAGAUGGGCAUGCGUCCUAUUAGUUUGUUGGUAAGGUAACGGCUUACCAAGACUUCGAUAGGUAGGGGCCCUGAGAGGGGGACCCCCCACACUGGUACUGAGACACGGACCAGACUCCUACGGGAGGCAGCAGUGAGGAAUAUUGGACAAUGGAGGAAACUCUGAUCCAGCCAUGCCGCGUGCAGGAUGAAUGCCCUAUGGGUUGUAAACUGCUUUUAUACAGGAAGAAACGUUCCCACGUGUGGGGAUUUGACGGUACUGUAAGAAUAAGGAUCGGCUAACUCCGUGCCAGCAGCCGCGGUAAUACGGAGGAUCCAAGCGUUAUCCGGAAUUAUUGGGUUUAAAGGGUCCGUAGGUGGUUAUUUAAGUCAGAGGUGAAAUCCUGCCGCUUAACGGUAGAACUGCCUUUGAUACUGAUUAACUUGAGUUAUUGUGAAGUAGUUAGAAUAUGUAGUGUAGCGGUGAAAUGCAUAGAUAUUACAUAGAAUACCGAUUGCGAAGGCAGAUUACUAACAAUAUACUGACACUGAGGGACGAAAGCGUGGGUAGCGAACAGGAUUAGAUACCCUGGU